rnacentral:rRNA from 1 species
GACGAACGCUGGCGGCGCGCUUAACACAUGCAAGUCGAACGGAAAGGCCUGCUUUCCCUUGUGGAUUGCGGGUACUCGAGUGGCGAACGGGUGAGUAACACGUGAGUGAUCUGCCCCCAACUUGGGUAUAAGCCUGGGAAACUGGGUCUAAUUCCCGAUAGGACUGCAGGGUGGUGCCUGUGGUGGAAAACGAUUUUCUAGUGGUUGGGGAUGAGCUCGCGGCCUAUCAGCUUGUUGGUGGGGUAAUGGCCUACCAAGGCGGCGACGGGUAGCCGGCCUGAGAGGGUGGACGGCCACAUUGGGACUGAGAUACGGCCCAGACUCCUACGGGAGGCAGCAGUGGGGAAUAUUGCAUAAUGGGCGGAAGCCUGAUGCAGCGACGCCGCGUGGGGGAUGACGGCCUUCGGGUUGUAAACUCCUUUCGACCGCGAGGAAGCCACCUGGUUGGAAGGGUGGUGACGGUAGUGGUAGAAGAAGCACCGGCUAACUACGUG